rnacentral:lncRNA from 1 species
GUGUGAGAAGCUUGGAGAGUUGGGGAAAUUAUUGGAUAGAGAUUGAAAAGUGAUAGUUGAGCAUUUUUGGGAUAUUAUUCAAUUCAAAUUAGUUUCUUGAAAUUACAGGAGAUGGAGGAGGUAGGUCAUAAAUUGUUUUCUUGAUUUUAGAACUUUAUUUUUGUGCCCAGUUAGUGAAAUUUAUUUCAAUUUGCCUUGCUAACUUCAGUAGCAAGUAUCAGAAGCUACCAGCUCGAGUGUGCAGUUUUAGCCGCCAACACUACCGACAAUUUUGUUGACAUACCCCUUUCAUUCUCUGGGGUACACGGAAAAGGUGCGAAUUAAAACCAAGGGUCGACCUCUGCCUGCGAUCAGUUUCAUGAAGAACGAUGAAAAGGCUCCUGUCGUGUCCUGAAUGAUGCUCUACUACUCCAGGCUCCUGUCGUGUCCUGAAUGAUGCUCUACUACUCCAGGCUGCUGUCAUGUCCUAAUUGAUGCUUUACUACUCCAGGCUCCUGUCGUGUCCUGAAUGAUGCUCUACUACUCCAGGCUCCUGUCGUGUCCUGAAUGAUGCUCUACCACACCAGGCUACUGUCGUGUCCUGAAUGAUGCUCUACUACUCCAGGCUCCUGUCGUGUCCUGAAUGAUGC